rnacentral:rRNA from 1 species
UACGUAGGGUGCGAGCGUUGUCCGGAAUUAUUGGGCGUAAAGGGCUCGUAGGCGGUUUGUCGCGUCGGGAGUGAAAUCCACUGGCUUAACUGGUGGCUUGCUUUCGAUACGGGCAGACUGGAGGUAUGCAGGGGAGAACGGAAUUCCUGGUGUAGCGGUGAAAUGCGCAGAUAUCAGGAGGAACACCGGUGGCGAAGGCGGUUCUCUGGGCAGUAACUGACGCUGAGAAGCGAAAGCGUGGGUAGCGAACAGG